rnacentral:lncRNA from 1 species
UGCCGCUUCACUUCCUUCACAAUAUCCAGCGCUUAAAACCAUCUUUAUCUCUUAGUUUGCUUCCUAUGGAACCCUCAUUUGCUAACCUAAUCCUAUUCCUCUCACUAGCUUUUAGAAAUUACAAAGGCUUUGAUUCUGCUUUACCUCUUUGAGUCUGGAAUUGCAACCCUAGAAAGACAAAUUACAGGAGAACAACGAUUGGAUCAUAAAACACUUGAUGGAUCCCUCAUGAUGAUAUUGAAAAGCAGAAGGCUACAAGCAUAAGCUGCGGGUGUUGCUUAUUCUUAGUUGAUGACUAAUCAUACCAGUCAAAUGGCAGUUUUUGGAGCAGACAUGAUUAGUAGGGGUGUUCAUGGUCCAGUUUUUACGGUGGUGUGGAAGACGUGAGUAGAUGGGUGAGAAGGCAACGUAGUGAGCGUGCUUCGUGCAAAUUUCUAUGCGGUUUUGUUGCUAGCUGCCACCACAUAUCUGCUUCAUGUUGCAAAAUAUCAAAGACAAGUAGAGUCCCUGUUAUAGUUAAGGCAUCAAAGCGGAGUUGAGCAUAUUUGUUUGUGGAAAACUCUGUAACAAUGGUGGUGGCUAUCAAAAGUUUGGUGGCAAACGAUAAUGUUGAUAGCGGUCAGAUGUUCAGGUAGCCACUGGAAUAUGGUGGUUGUUUGGGCGGCGAUUGGAAGUUCGCGCAACCACUGAAAUCUGGUAGUUUUGGGGCAGCACUCAGAAGUCUGGGCUGCAACCGGAGUUAGGUGGUUUUAGCUUUGUAUCUGUUUGAUAUGUAGUUCAUCUCUCUCUGUAUCAUUGUUAGUGUUGGUUUAUGGGUUAAGAUUAAGAGACAAUUUCAACGACUUCACAAAUUCUCAACAACACAUUCGGUGUUUAGAAGAUGUUAACAAAAUGGUAUAGGCCAUUCUGACCCGUUCUAACACUUGCCCAUUACUGUGAUAACUGGCACAAAACCGGUAAUUUCCGUACAGUCGAAUUAUUAGUUAAUAUCUGCAAUUAUGUGCUUAAAUGUCAACAUUGUCUGAUUUCAUG